AUGCAACUAAUGUCAUGGUUCUAUGGGUCUCCUAAAGAUGUACCAUACACGACAAAGGACAUUGCAAACCAGCGAGCUAAAUUCCGCAUGGAGUACCACCAUGCUGAUGUGAGGAGCACGAUCUCAUACUUCCAAGAUAUGAAGGCACAAGAUCCAGAUUUCUAUUGGAGAAUAAAGCUUGAUGACGAGGACAGAGUGGAAAAUUUGUUCUGGAUAGAUGGUGCGUCGCGCAGGGCAUAUGCUAGAGACAAUGAUGUCAUAUCAUUCGACACAACAUACAUGACAAACAUGUACAAGAUGCCCUGUGCGCCCUUCAUUGGCAUUAAUAACCAUGGACAAUCAAUCCAGUUUGGUUGUGGAUUUGUUCGAAACGAACUAUCUGGUAACUUUGUGUGGCUGUUUAAUGCAUUCUUGCAUGCAAUGGGUGGAAUUGCGCCAAAGAACAUAAUAACAGAUCAAGUUUUUGCAAUGGGGUGUUCAUCGGGAUAG
rnacentral:rRNA from 1 species